AUUCAAUGAUGAAAGAUUCAUUCGGUUUAUGGAGUGGGAUGCGUAAGAUUAGGUAGUAGGCGGGGUAACGGCCCACCUAGCCGACGAUUCUUUAGGGGUUCUGAGAGGAAGGUCCCCCACACUGGUACUGAGACACGGACCAGACUCCUACGGGAGGCAGCAGUGAGGAAUAUUGGUCAAUGGGCGGAAGCCUGAACCAGCCAAGUAGCGUGAAGGAUUACAGCCCUACGGGUUUUAAACUUCUUUUAUAUGAGAGUAAUGUGCACUACGUGUAGUGUAUUGCAAGUAUCAUAUGAAUAAGCAUCGGCUAACUCCGUG
rnacentral:rRNA from 1 species